AGUGGGAUAACUGGGUCAAAUGGUGGUUCCACUCAGUUUUCUGAGGAAUCUUUAUACUGUUUUCCAAAGUGGUUGCACCAAUUUGCAGGCCAACCAGCAAU
rnacentral:pre_miRNA from 1 species